rnacentral:rRNA from 1 species
AUUGAACGCUGGCGGGGUGCCUUACACAUGCAAGUCGAACGAGUGGCGGACGGGUGAGUAAUAUAUCGGAACGUGGCCAGUAGAGGGGGAUAACUACUCGAAAGAGUGGCUAAUACCGCAUACUAUGCGAUCGGCCGAUGUUGGAUUAGCUAGUUGGUGGGGUAAAGGCUCACCAAGGCAACGAGCCGUAGCUGGUUUGAGAGGACGACCAGCCACACUGGGACUGAGACACGGCCCAGACUCCUACGGGAGGCAGCAGUGGGGAAUUUUGGACAAUGGGGGAAAGCCUGAUCCAGCCAUCCCGCGUGUAUGAGAAGGCCUUCGGGUUGUAAAGUACUUUUGGCAGAGAAGCGGUAUCUGCAGAAUAAGCACCGGCUAACUACGUGCCAGCCGCCGCGGUAAUUC